rnacentral:tmRNA from 1 species
GGGGGCGAAAGGCUUCGACGGUCGCUUUACCCAGGAAUAAGCAGGUCGAGCGCCUACUCGUUAAACAGGCACCAAAACAUAACUGCCAAUAACAGUUACGCUUCCGCUCCGGCUUUAGCUUACGCUUAAGGCCUGAACGGCAUCGGUCCCGCAACGCCUAAUAGCGGAAUCCCGGUGUUAUACAUUAGGCUCGUCUCAGGGAACUCUUAGCCGGCCCUGGGGCAAAAUAAAGGCUAGGAAGGCCGCCCCGGGCCCUAUCGGGGAGCUAAGCUUGUAGAAAGUUCCUGAGUUUACUUCCGGACGGGGGUUCAAUUCUCCCCGCCUCCACCA